GACAGAGGGGGGCAAGCGUUGCUCGGAAUCACUGGGCGUAAAGGGCGCGUAGGCGGGAUGGCAAGUCGGUCGUGAAAUCUCUCGGCUCAACCGAGAAACGUCGGCCGAUACUGCCGUUCUUGAGGGAUGCAGAGGAGACUGGAAUUCCCGGUGUAGCGGUGAAAAUGUGUAGAGAUCGGGAGGAACACCGGUGGCGAAGGCGGGUCUCUGGGCAUUUCCUGACGCUGAGGCGCGAAAGCGUGGGAGCAAACGGG
rnacentral:rRNA from 1 species